ACGGUCAGCGGCUGUGACGGGUUCUGGCGGUUUCACCUGGACCUCGGAUCUGGUUUCUGGAGUUCUGCUGAGCCAACGUGAGGAUUCCCACCGUUUAGGAAGAACAAUCUGUGAGGAAUUUGUUUCUGGACAGGAUUAUUAAGGAGAGAAGAUGUCUUUAAAGCGCCGACUGGUCUCCAUGUUUCUGUGCUGUGUUUACUGCGUGGCCUCACUCUUCUGCCUCCAUCCAAACCGCAGCAAUAUUGUCUCAGUGGGAGGGCGGAGUCUGUCAACCGUCUUCCAACAACUUUACCAGCGUGUCAUCCGAAUGCUGAGAACCACGCUGUGACUUCACACCACUUCCUGUGUUCGAAAGAGCCACCCUGGAUCUCCUGUCACUGUGACCGUGACCGAGCAUGCCUCCCAAAAGAGCAAGAACAAAUGAAUAAAAGAAGAGAAAAGAAAAGAGGAAUAAUAUGUGUGGGACUGCAGAGUUUGAAUUGACUCAUAUUUGUCUGAACAGCUUUCCAAAUGACCAGAGAAGAAGAUGAAAACAGAUUUAUUUUUCUACACUUGACAAUGUAUGUUUGAUCACGAG